AAUAGUGACGGGCCCAGCAUGGAGACAUUUGUGACCUGCGUCCCCUUUGCCAGAUGCCAGACGGCCAUUAGUUAACCAGAGAGGUGACCUUUUCAGUGACAUUCCCGCCACCCGUUCACUCCCCCAGGAAGGCUUUGGGAGUCGGAGCUGGGGACACAGAGCAAGGUGGGGCUGAUCAGGGCAAAAUGAGCACACAAAACAAACGUGGAGGAUGACACGAAGCCCGAGGCACCCAACGCCGUCCAAGACAACAUAAAGAGGAGAGCAGAAUCUAACAAGGUACAACAUCAAUGACCACAAGCAGAAGCCUGAGAAUAUUUAGGUAGUAAGACACUGACUACAUUUCAUUUCAUGAGAUGAUGAUUGAUUCGAUUACUAUUGUUGUGCCAUUUUGGGACCACAAGCAGCUAUGCUUCGUGAACGGUAUGUGGCAAAUGUCCCCCACUCUCUUCUGCAACCUUACCAGCCACCACAAAUUGACAACAGUACCGUUCCAUGUUGGUCCCCCAAAUUUUCAACCCAGCACU